UACGAAGGGGGGCUAGCGUUGCUCGGAAUGACUGGGCGUAAAGGGCGCGUAGGCGGAUGGCACAGUCAGAUGUGAAAUUCCCGGGCUUAACCUGGGGGGCUGCAUUUGAUACGUGUUGUCUUGAGUUCGGAAGAGGGUCGUGGAAUUCCCCAGUGUAGAGGUGAAAUUCGUAGAUAUUGGGAAGAACACCGUGGCGAAGGCGGCGACCUGGUCCGACACUGACGCUGAGGGCGCGAAAACGUGGGGGGAGCAAAAC
rnacentral:rRNA from 1 species